UACGGGGGGGAGCAAGCGUUGUUCGGAUUUACUGGGCGUAAAGCGCGUGUAGGUGGCUUGUUACGUCUGCUGUGAAAUGUCCCGGCUUAACCGGGACUAGGCGGUAGAUACGGGCAGGCUAGAGGGUGACAGAGGAGCGUAGAAUUCCGGGUGUAGUGGUGAAAUGCGUAGAGAUCGGGAGGAAGGCCGGUGGCGAAGGCGGCGCUCUGGAACGUUUCGUGACGCU
rnacentral:rRNA from 1 species